AUGCGGCGCAAGGCGCUGCUCCACACGCCCACUGGGGAGGUGGUCGCCUCCUACGCCUCCCUGGAGUGCAAGCUCGUCGCACUCGGCUGGGAGCGCUACUACGCCGUCAGGGGCGGCGCCGCCGGCGACUGCAUGCUCAAGUUCGACAAGCGCUCCUCCGUCGACCUCAUCUCCCUCCCCAAGGACUUCGGCCAGUUCAGCUCCGUUCACAUGUACGACGUCUUCAUCAAGAACCGCGACGCCUUCUGCGUCAUCGACGUCUAG
rnacentral:rRNA from 1 species